CUUUAGUACAUUUGGUUGUGGGGUUUUGUUUAAAUUUUUUUGUCUCUCUUGGCUGUAACAAGAUGCCACCCUGGAGGUUGUUGUUCAUGCACCUGAGGAUGCUGUGAUAAAAUCACCUGUUUAAGGAACUAAUGUCCUCCAGAGAACCAGAUACAAAAAUGCAAGCUCACAGCUACCCUCUACAGACGUAUAAAAGGUGAUGGAUCUGGAAAAACAUCAGCUCUGCUUUUUUUGCAGUUUCUGUCUGCACUACUUGGUCACUUUUCCCACCUUAUACCUGAAAAUGAUUCCCACGAGGCCACGACUGAAGUUGGUUUUUCCAGGCCCAGAAUUCUCCAUCCCC